rnacentral:rRNA from 1 species
GUGGGGAAUAUUGGACAAUGGGCGCAAGCCUGAUCCAGCAAUUCCGCGUGGGUGAAGAAGGUCUUCGGAUUGUAAAGCCCUUUCGACGGGGACGAUGAUGACGGUACCCGUAGAAGAAGCCCCGGCUAACUUCGUGCCAGCAGCCGCGGUAAUACGAAGGGGGCUAGCGUUGCUCGGAAUUACUGGGCGUAAAGGGCGCGUAGGCGGCUUAGUUAGUCAGGCGUGAAAGCCCUGGGCUCAACCUGGGGACUGCGCUUGAUACGGCUAGGCUAGAGGAUGGAAGAGGGUCGCGGAAUUCCCAGUGUAGAGGUGAAAUUCGUAGAUAUUGGGAAGAACACCGGUGGCGAAGGCGGCGACCUGGUCCAUUACUGACGCUGAGGCGCGACAGCGUGGGGAGCAAACAGGAUUAGAAACCCUAGUAGUCC